AUAUUUUAUUUUCUCCAAUUUCUAAUUACAAAAAAAAAAAAUCAAACAUUCAUCUGAAAUGUGUUGCACGGCUAGGGUUUAUCGCACAGCAUCCAUAUUAGACGUUUUAUCUCACAACUAGGGUUUAUCGUAAAGCAUCAAAUUUGUUCGUUCGAAUAGAUGUGCCAUCAUCAAGCAUCGCACAGUACAGCAUCAGCCACCAAGUUCGAAAUUGGGUUCUUAAGAGGCGCGCCAGCUUUAUUCUUGGAUCAAAUUCCUUUUACAUCAAUUUAUGAGAGCCGUAAUAGACGUUGUUUGAGUUCGAAAUUGAGUGAUCGAAGGUAAAUUUUGCAUCUUUUUCUCUCUUCUCAUUUGCAUUCAAUUCUUCAUAAUUUUGAUGCUCUGUUUCCAUUUUCUCCUUAUAAUUAGUGAUUCAUAACUAGAAAAAAAUGGUACUCGAGUUGUUGAGGUCCUUUUUCUUCUUUUUUGUUAUCUCUUGAGUCAAAAAUGUAAUCUUUAGAAUUCCUUUUUCUUUGUUUUGGAGUGACUUUUUGUUUCUGAAAUGGGUCUCUAGUUGAUAAUUCGGGACUCAAGAAACAACCAUUUGCAUGUGAUUUUAUUACUUUGAUUAGCUAAUUAGUUUGUUGAAAUAGGGUGGUGAACCAGAAAGGUGGAGAUCGACAAAAGAAUUGGUCUUGAUUGUUGACUAUUCUUUUUAUUUCUGAAAUUGUUCUGUACUUGGUCAAUUUUUAUUUCUGAAAUUGUUCUGUACUUGGUCAAUUGGGUUGUUCUUGAUCUUGUUGCUUUCUCUGAUAAUUAAUUUUCUUUUUAGUUCACUUUUUUCUGAUCAAAGGGAAUAAUUGGAGUUCUUUACAGUUUUAUUGGGACCAAAGAAACAACCAUUUGCAUGUGAUUUCAUUACUUUGAUUAUUGAUUGAGAUGGUUAGGUGAACCAGAUAGGUGGAGCAGAAAACCAGUAGCCAAUAGGCGUGCAUUGUAAUUCAAGCAUUUGUACAUCCUGGAACUAUAUUUGUCAUGUAUUGUUGUUCGAUAUGUACUAAUUUUUAAAAUUUCAUCUAUGUUUCUCCUGAAAGUCCAAUUAUUUUGUUGAAAUAUCAGUUGAUUGGUACCGGACUAAUGUUCUGCUUUUUUGCCCUUGCCAAAUCUGUUUCAGGUACUUAAAACUCCCAACUCUAUUAUGCUGCUUGUUUUAAUGUGAAUUGAUUUUCCAAUGUAGCCAUAAACACUCUCUGUGGCAAAGGAAUCCUCUUGGUUCCCUAUGCACUCAAAGAAGGGGGAUGGUGUAGUCUUUUCCUGCUGCUUUUAGUUGGAGUCAUUACUUUUUAUACUGGAACUCUUUUGAAAAAUGUUUAGAAAGUUCUCCUGGUGUUGAAACCGAUCCAGAUAUCGUACAAGGUACCGUUGGAUUGCUCAGUCGAAUAUUUAUAGUUGUGAGUAUGAGAGAAUACUAACGACAUAUAUACUAAUUCUUUUUUAAUUUGUAGAACAAGAUUUACGUCUAGUUGCGAAUGUUAGAUUUGCAUUAAACGCAGAUAGCCUUGUAUACAGAACUAUAUGUAAUUGUCUCUGCUUACUAAUUCUCACUCUCUGCUUCAUUCUGGUACUGUUGUAUGUUGCCUAUACCUUGCAACGGUCUUCUUCUUUGCUGUCCUCUUGCAUAGAGUAUUUGAUUAUGAUGAGUGAUAAUUUUGGCGCCCUAUUACCAAAUAGUCACAUGGAGUUCGCUAGAAUUCAUCUAGAUUCUUAUCAAAUGUGUGCUAUCAUUUCUACCCUUGUCAUACUUCCAACGGUUUGGCUUAGAAAUUUCAGUUUGCUAUCUAUCGUUUCAGGUAUUGAUUAUUUAAGUUUACCAUAAAAUGUCUUGAAUUAGUUCAUAGAUGUUCAAUAUGUGUUAGUGUGUGUUGCAUUCUGAUGCUUGUGACUUCAUCGGUGGAGUGAUUACAUAAAUUAUCUACUUCUUGUGGGUUGGAGUGAUCAAUGACGUUGGAUAUGACCAAGUGGAACAGCUUUAAACAGUGAAAAGUUGCCCGUCACAGUUGGUCUUUAUAGUUUCUACUAUGGAAGCCAUUCAGUUUUCCCAAAUAUCUACUCAUCGAUGAAAGAACCUUCAAGAUUUCCUUCUAUUCUUCUUAUAAGCUUUAGCAUUGCCUUCUUUUCGUACCUUGGAGUAGCAGUUUGUGGAUUCCUAAUGUUUGGUGAAAACACCAAUCCACAGUUCACUAUGAAUUUGCCAGCCAAACUUGUUACUUCAAAAGUUGCAGCUUAGACAGUGGCUCGACAUCUUUAUGCUUCUUGAUAAGCUAGUUAACUCUUUUAGGGGAAUAGGAAGCCAAGGAGUCGAAGGAAGUCAUUGCAAAUUCUCUAAAAGGUUCUAAUAUGGUUUUCAUAACAGCAGGCAUGGGUGGACGCACAGGAUAUGGUGUUGAUCCAGUUAUGGCUCAAAUAGCAAAAAAAGCAGGUUAUUUAACUGUUGGUUUUCAGAAAAAUGUUGACACUCUUAUAGUAAUUCCCAAUGAUCGUCUACCAGAUAUUAUCAAUGAGCAGAAACCACUUCAAGAUGCUUUUCUUCUUGUGGAUGAUGUAUUACGUCAAGGUGUCCAAGGAAUAUCUGAUAUAAUCACUGAACAAUGCAGGUGAUCAAAUUUGAAUGGUUUGCGCCACAAUUUAACUUGGUCUAGAUUGAAGUGAAUGAUGGAGAAUUUUUGAAAUACUUUGAUAAACAUUUAAAUACAUUUGGUUUUGUGUGAAACUUAGUACAAAUCUUUAAAAUGUUGUUUUCUAAUUAGUAUGUAAACAACAUGUUUUUUUGAAGUGCAUUGCAAAUUGCAAAUCUAUGCAUUUCAAUUAUUUAUUAGUUAAUUGGUGUGUGAGAUUAUAAUA